GACGUGGCCAAUUGGAUUAAGGAGGU
rnacentral:tRNA from 4 species